rnacentral:rRNA from 1 species
AUUGAACGCUGGCGGCAGGCUUAACACAUGCAAGUCGAGCGGAGAUGAGGUGCUUGCACCUUAUCUUAGCGGCGGACGGGUGAGUAAUGCUUAGGAAUCUGCCUAUUAGUGGGGGACAACAUUCCGAAAGGAAUGCUAAUACCGCAUACGUCCUACGGGAGAAAGCAGGGGAUCUUCGGACCUUGCGCUAAUAGAUGAGCCUAAGUCGGAUUAGCUAGUUGGUGGGGUAAAGGCCUACCAAGGCGACGAUCUGUAGCGGGUCUGAGAGGAUGAUCCGCCACACUGGGACUGAGACACGGCCCAGACUCCUACGGGAGGCAGCAGUGGGGAAUAUUGGACAAUGGGGGGAACCCUGAUCCAGCCAUGCCGCGUGUGUGAAGAAGGCCUUUUGGUUGUAAAGCACAUUAAGCGAGGAGGAGGCGCUCUAGGUUAAUACCCUAGAUGCGUGGACGUUACUCGCAGAAUAAGCACCGGCUAACUCUGUGCCAGCAGCCGCCGUAAUAC